rnacentral:misc_RNA from 1 species
UCGAAUGAAUGUAGAGUUGGUUGUCGCUGGCCUCUUUGCGGAAGCAUGUGCACGCCUUCUCUUUCAUCCACACACACCUGUGCACUUGUGAGACGGGAGCCUAUAUUCCUUUUGCGAGGAAGAAGGUUUCCGUCUGCCAAUACAUAAACUCAUAUCUUGUAAUCUGAAUGUAAUUGAUGUAACGCAUCUAUAAAC